GGUAAGAUGGCAUUCUGAGGAGGAGCCUUGUGAUUAGGGAAUGGGAAUAAGCCAGAACAACAGCAACAACAAAAGUAGCUUGUGAGUACCUGGUACCAGAGUGCUGACUUUUUCUUACUUGUGCCUGACAAGUCAUAAUGCCUAAGAACUACCACCAGGGGUGUCACAAUGGAGAGUAACGUACACUAGAAGCACCUAAUGAGGAAUUAAGAGUGGGAUGUGUGCUGGAAAGGGUUCACACAUAUAAUCCCAGCACUUUGGGAGGCUGAGGUAGGAAGAUCGCUGGAACCCAGGAGUUCAAGACCAUCCUGGGUAAGAUAACAGCACCUCAGAGAAGAUUUGGAAAAUAAAUGAGCUGAUGAGAGCAAUUUUCUGCUUCCUGGGCCACCACAGUCUUCUUUGCUGUUUUUGAUUGCAACCAUUUUCAGAGAAGAAUCAACACCAAAGCCUCAAUACCUGAAACAGAGCUGGCAUGUGGCAUAUCCUCAGAAACAUUUGCUAAAUGACACCUAGUCUAUAGGAGGAGGACUCAUUCUUAACCAUUAGAUUUAGCCAUGCAGAAGUCAGAUCAAGAGUAAACAGAGCAAGAACAGUUUUGGUGCUGUGAUGGGUCAAAAGCCUGAGUCAGAUUACAUGUAUAUAAAUUACCUAGUAACGAGCAUGACCUCUGUCCAAGCAGAAGGCAAGCAGGGGAGAAGAUUUAGCUGCUCAACUACAGUUAUUCUCUCAACCCAAGCUAAGGUGGUACAAGGAAGAAUGGCAGAUUGGCAGAUUGGGUGGCCAGGAGGCUUCACAGAGACCCCGUUGAGAAUCCAGUAAAACCUAUGGUUCCUCUUUUAAGAAAAAUACAUGGGCACGCACAAAAAAACCUUAGUGUUUGUUUCCCUGGUCUUUGUUUCCACACAUGCCCUGAAGCCCAGCUGUGAUGCAGGUUAAGAAUCUCUACCCUGGAUUCCAAAGUGGUUAGUAGCAUUUCUUG
rnacentral:lncRNA from 1 species